AUCAUUACUUUUUCAAUUUGUUUUCCCUCAAUUUUCUCAUCUCUUGAGUUCUUUCUGAACCCUAAUUCGUUCCUCCUGAUUUGUUUUCUUCUUUUGUUCUUCCCUUUUUCAUCACCGGAGCAUUACUUCCUUCUUUUUCAGAACACAAUUAAUUCUAAAGUGCCAACGAUUAUGGAAUUGUAUCGGGAUAACUUGCGGGUCUCUCAUGGUGGAAAUUGGUAGCCUACUUCAUGGAUUGUAACAUUUGAGAGGAGCCACCCUUAUUGGUGUUUUUCAGUAGAUAUAUCAGGUGAAGGUCAUCACUCAAGGUGCCUCAGCUAGAAUGGUUCAUUCUCGUGCCCGCAUGGGUUGCGAGCCCAUUGUCAAGAUGGUAAGGAGGAAACUUGAAGAUGGUUUCGACUUCCCAACCAAGUGGUCCAUCCCUCGAGAAACCACCUGUCUCUAGUGGCAAGUAUGUGAUUCUAAAAUUGCCAUAAAGCAAUACAAUCUAUUGAAAUUGGGUCGUACUCUGGAGUUGGAAAAGCUUUUAAUAGCUAGGAACAUAUUCCGAUACCGUUUAGACGGGAAAAGCCCUAAUGGUUGUCAGGUAGCUGACCGGAUGUUUGGUACGGAUACCAGAAGAGUAAUAUCCACCAAAGAAACAUGGCCUUAUGAGGCCAAUAAUGACUUAGCCUUGAUGUUGGUACGGAGGAAGAGGGAACCCACCAACUUCUUUUACAUCGUCUGUAAUAUGCAUCCAUACAGUUGGUCUUCCUCACCAACGGGUGAUAAAGGUAAGUCAUCGAGUAAAGCUUUAGUUCCCAAUUGGCCUGACAUCAUUUUUGUUGUUGCAUGCUCUUCCAGUUUCUCUAAUUCUUCCAGUCCCAACAUAGUGUGAACAUAGACACUUUGAUGAACAGUGUACGAGAGAGUGAAAAGGUGGUUCCCUUAAGGGUAAGGGCCAACCGUGGUGGCCACAAGAGGCCAAGGGUGGAAGAAGGGCCCCAUAGUGCUGAAGACAGUAGUAGGGGUAGGCUGAUACCUUGUAAACAUGGAAAGGAACUAGCGGUUCCUCAAAGAGAAAAUUCUCCUCCAACUGUCCCUACCAUACCUGAAUCUUCCAUCAUAGCUGCCAAUCCUGCGGAUCUUCCUACCCCAAUUUCAGUGUCUUCUCUUGUAGGGUCAAGCUUUGGUACUAGUCAUAUUAUUAUGCACACCUCUCAUUUUUUUCUCCAUCAACUUUACUUCUCCUGGGAGGUAAUACCUUCUUUAUCUGGUGGAAUCACCUUAAUGCGGGGCCAUAUCCUUUUUCUCCAUCCUCUGUCAAAUAAAGGUAAGAUAAGGAUUUGCCCUAAGGGUUAAAAGAGUUUGUCUACCCUUCUUUCUCCUCUUCUAAUGUUCAUAAGCCUUCGCUAGCAGGAUUGGUGGGUUCAUUUUAGUUGAUGGCAGCAGAGUGUGGACUUCUUGGCUAGGCCCUCUAGGAAACCUAUAAUGAACACGAGGCUAAACGGGUAGAAUUUGAGAAGACCAUUCAUUCUGGUGAACAAACAAUUAUCUAGCUUCGCCAACUAAAUGGGGCAACUGUUCGCCAAAACCAAGAGCUCAUUGACUCUGUCUACACCUGAGAGACUAAGUACAAAUCCUUGGAGGCCAGGGAGAAAGAUUUGGAAAGGAGGGCCCGCCUAUAUGAAGUGAAGGAAGUUGUAUGAGAGGGGAAGAUGAAAGCCCUUGAGGAACAACACCUCACGGAUCUGGAGCAGUUGUGGAACGAAAGCAACGAGGCCCUAAAGAACUUCAAAAUAGAUACCAAGGCCAAUAUGAAAGAAUAUUUGCGCAAUUUUAAUUCCAACCUUAUUUUUCAUGCUCAAGUCAUCGUGGGUCCUUUUGAAAUGAGUCAGGUGGACUUUAAUUGCAUGCAAAUAUUUAUCAAUGUGGACCUCAACUUUGAUAUUCUCUACCCUUUAGGAGUGAAAUGAGAAGAAUUCCAAAAAGAAUGGAAAGAGUCAGGCAAACUCUUUCUUCUCCUAGAACCCGAGGUGACUAAUCCUGCUCCCAUUAAAGACAUUUGCCACAAAGAAGAAGCCCUGGAGGAUAUCACCACUCUUGCCCCACCAGUCAAGGAAGGGAAGUAAAAUUUUCUUGUAAUUGUACUUGCCUCUCUUCCAAUUCCUGUCAUCAAUAAAAUUUUUAACUCUUCUAUUAA